rnacentral:tRNA from 1 species
AAGGUAGCUCAGUGGUAGAGUGCUUGCCUUGCAUGCAUGAGACCCUGGGUUCGAUUCCUCAGCACCUUA